GUAAAGUUUUAUUCUUGCUUGAUUUAUUUACUUUAAGAAAUUUUUAUAUGCUAGAUUUUUCUUUGAUAAGUAUAGUCUAAAUGAUUAAUUAGAUAGGGUUAGCAGUGGAAUAUAUUAAUGAUUAAUGUAAGUUAGAGUUAGUUAUUUUUUUUAAAUAUUGAUAAAAUAUGUGCCAGCAGUCGCGGUUAUACAUGGAAUAUAAGUAAAUAUUUUUAGUUAGUAGUUAAUCUUUUAGUUGAAGAUUUAAAAGGUAAGUUUUUAGGUGAAAUUUAAAUUUUAAUUUAUUUCUAAUUAUUUUUGAUGAGGCUAUGAAAUCUAAUUAAUAAACUAGGAUUAGAUACCCUAUUAUUUAUGAAUUAAAAAAAUUAUGCUGGAGUAGUAAUAGUUAUGGACUUGAAACUUAAAGAAUUUGGCGGUAUCUUAGUCCAUUUAGAGGAAUCUGUCCCGUAAUCGAUAGUCCACGUUAAACCUUACUUAAGUCUAUGGUUUGUAUACCGCCGUAUAUGAAAAUCUUUUUAGAGUUGAUUUUCUAGAGAUUUUAUAGAUAGUAUUUCAGGUCAAGGUGCAAUUUAUAUUUAAGUGGUGAUGGAUUACAAUAUGAAAUUAGUUAAACGGAAUAUAGAAUUAAAUAUUUAUAUAAAGGUGGAUUUAAUAGUAAUGUUAUAUAGACUAUUAACUUGAUUAAGGCUCUAGGAUGUGCACACAUCGCCCGUCGCUCUCGUUAUAAGGUGAGAUAAGUCGUAACAAAGUAGGUGUACCGGAAGGUGUAGCUAGAAUGAU
rnacentral:ncRNA from 1 species